CCGAUUGAUGAUAUUGUGACAAAUGGCAUUCCUCGAACAUGAAUAUACUAUGUUGAAUGUUGUCAAACUUAAGUUUCAGCCUUGUCUGACA
rnacentral:snoRNA from 1 species